GGAGGUGUUCGAUGUCCGGUGACAUCCGCAGUUUUCAAAACUGUUGUGGGGCCGAAAAGGUCCCGGGUGGGUUCGACUCCCAUACACCUCCGC
rnacentral:tRNA from 1 species